AGAUUGAACGCUGGCGGCAUGCCUUACACAUGCAAGUCGAACGGCAGCACGGGAGCAAUCCUGGUGGCGAGUGGCGAACGGGUGAGUAAUACAUCGGAACGUGCCCAAUCGUGGGGGGAUAACGCAGCGAAAGCUGUGCUAAUACCGCAUAAGAUCCACGGAUGAAAGCAGGGGAUCGCAAGACCUUGCGCGAAUGGAGCGGCCGAUGGCAGAUUAGGUAGUUGGUGAGGUAAAGGCUCACCAAGCCUUCGAUCUGUAGCUGGUCUGAGAGGACGACCAGCCACACUGGGGACUGAGACACGGCCCAGACUCCUACGGGAGCAGCAGUGGGAAUUUUGGACAAUGGGCGAAAGCUGAUCCAGCCAUGCCGCGUGCAGGAUGAAGGCCGUUCGGUUAGUAACUGUCUUUUGUAACGGAACGAAAGGUCUACUUUCUAAAGUAAGAGGAUAC
rnacentral:rRNA from 1 species